rnacentral:rRNA from 1 species
AUACGUAGGGAGCGAGCGUUGUCCGGAAUUACUGGGUGUAAAGGGAGCGUAGGCGGGACUGCAAGUCAGAUGUGAAAUACCGGGGCUUAACCCCGGAGCUGCGUUUGAAACUGUGGUUCUUGAGUGAAGUAGAGGCAAGCGGAAUUCCUGGUGUAGCGGUGAAAUGCGUAGAUAUCAGGAGGAACACCGGUGGCGAAGGCGGCUUGCUGGGCUUUUACUGACGCUGAGGCUCGAAAGCGUGGGUAGCAAACAGGAUUAGAUACCCUGGUAGUCCACGCUGUAAACGAUGAUUACUAGGUGUGGGGGGACUGACCCCUUCCGUGCCGCAGUUAACACAAUAAGUAAUCCACCUGGGGAGUACGGCCGCAAGGUUGAAACUCAAAGGAAUUGACGGGG